rnacentral:rRNA from 1 species
AUUGAACGCUGGCGGCAGGCUUAACACAUGCAAGUCGAACGAUGAUUAUCCAGCUUGCUGGAUAAGAUUAGUGGCGAACGGGUGAGUAACAUUUAGGAAUCUGCCUCAUAAUGGGGGAUAGCUUGGGGAAACCCAAAUUAAUACCGCAUACGUCCUACGGGAGAAAGAUGGCGCAAGCUGUCGUUAUGAGAUGAGCCUAAACCAGAUUAGCUAGUUGGUGGGGUAAAAGCCUACCAAGGCGACGAUCUGUAGCUGGUCUGAGAGGAUGAUCAGCCACACUGGGACUGAGACACGGCCCAGACUCCUACGGGAGGCAGCAGUGGGGAAUAUUGGACAAUGGGGGCAACCCUGAUCCAGCCAUGCCGCGUGUGUGAAGAAGGCCUUUUGGUUGUAAAGCACUUUAAGUGGGGAGGAACAAUUAUCAAUUAAUACCUGAUAAUCUUGACGUUACCCACAGAAUAAGCACCGGCUAACUCUGUGC